UACGGAGGGUGCGAGCGUUGUCCGGAUUUAUUGGGUUUAAAGGGUGCGUAGGUGGCCCGGUAAGUCAGUGGUGAAAUACAGCCGCUCAACGGUUGAGGUGCCAUUGAUACUGUCGGGCUUGAAACAACUGGAGGCUGCCGGAAUGGAUGGUGUAGCGGUGAAAUGCAUAGAUAUCAUCCAGAACACCGAUUGCGAAGGCAGGUGGCUACGUUUGAUUUGACACUGAGGCACGAAAGCAUGGGGAGCAAACAGG
rnacentral:rRNA from 1 species